GAUGAACGCUGGCGGCGUGCCUAAUACAUGCAAGUCGAGCGAACAGACGAGGAGCUUGCUCCUCUGACGUUAGCGGCGGACGGGUGAGUAACACGUGGAUAACCUACCUAUAAGACUGGGAUAACUUCGGGAAACCGGAGCUAAUACCGGAUAAUAUAUUUAACCGCAUGGUUCAAUAGUGAAAGACGGUUUUGCUGUCACUUAUAGAUGGAUCCGCGCCGCAUUAGCUAGUUGGUAAGGUAACGGCUUACCAAGGCAACGAUGCGUAGCCGACCUGAGAGGGUGAUCGGCCACACUGGAACUGAGACACGGUCCAGACUCCUACGGGAGGCAGCAGUAGGGAAUCUUCCGAAAUGGGCGAAAGCUUGACGGAGCAACGCCGCGUGAGUGAUGAAGGUCUUCGGAUCGUAAAACUCUGUUAUUAGGGAAGAACAAAUGUGUAAGUAACUAUGCACGUCUUGACGGUACCUAAUCAGAAAGCCACGGCUAACUACGUG
rnacentral:rRNA from 1 species